UUUAAAGCAAGGGUCACAUUGUUGAUGGCUUCAUCCAAACAGGCCAGCAUGGCAGCAUAUCUCCGCCUGUUUAUAUUAUUGAUUGAUCUGUAAUGUUCAAAAUACUUGCCUGGUGCCUGUAGUGGAGAGUGAACAGCUUGAUGCCUAUUACCUGGAUAUACAGGUGCCUAGGACUGCUUGCAAAGGUGCCCUGGGAUGGAUGCAUGCCAGAAAUUGGUUCCUGCAACCCCAGAGCUUCUGACAGAACUGAAUUCUGUUUCCAAGAAAAGCUACAGCCCUGAUAGUUUGAACAAUAGUUUUAACUGGAUGAAACCAAAAGGGAUUUUGACUUUUAAAUAAUGCACAUACUUUGGUGUGCUGUUGUAUAUUGUCAACAGAGGUGUCAAUGUAUGAGAGGCAGGAAGGAUAAUCCUGAGUUGAAAUAUAGGACUGGGAGACUGUAUAUCCAGGUUUUAUUCUUGUUUCUGCCAGAGACUUCCUCCACAAUCUGAAGCAUGACCACUGGAGCUGAGCACCUAAUGCUCUUAGGCCCCUCUGAAAAAUUUCAGUCCUGGUCUAUUAGUACUUAAUAUUUCUCAUUUGUUAUAUGGGGACAAUACUACUUUCCUUCUUCAAAGCAGAGCCAGAAGCUGAAGGUUAUUAAUGUUAAA